UACGAAGGGGGCUAGCGUUGCUCGGAAUCACUGGGCGUAAAGCGCACGUAGGCGGACUCUUAAGUCGGUGGUGAAAUCCUGGAGCUCAACUCCAGAACUGCCUCCGAUACUGGGAGCCUUCGAGUCCGGGAGAGGUGAGUGGGACUGCGAGUGUAGAGGUGAAAUUCGUAGAUAUUCGCAAGAACACCAGUGGCGAAGGCGGCUCACUGGCCCGGUACUGACGCUGAGGUGCGAAAGCGUGGGGAGCAAACAGG
rnacentral:rRNA from 1 species